AAAAGCCGAACUAAGAGCUGCUAACUCUUACCCCUGACAAUGAAACGUCAGCGCUUUUA
rnacentral:tRNA from 1 species